rnacentral:misc_RNA from 1 species
AUGUGUUUUUUGUUAACAAACUUCCCCCGUAUUUCAAAACCUUUAUCUUUAUCACGUUCAGUAAUCUUUUCAUUCGUAUACACUUCAGCACUAGUACAAACCAGCUGCAUUUUUACCCUUAUUCUACACUUUUUUUUGUCUAAAUACGAGUCUUCCGGAUGGAACGAAACACAAGCUCAGCUAUGGGAUCGUUUUACUUGCGUGAGACUGGAGAAAUUCGUGACGUUUAUAAAAUAUUCCUUCUGGUAGAAUGUCCAUUUCAUAUCGUGAACAUAUUUUUGCUCUUGAUUUGCCCAAAUUUUAUAUUUUCAUCCAAAACUCUUGUAAAUCUGAAUUUGAAAAUGACAAUAGCCAGUUACUUUUUAGCUGGUGUGCUCAUGAGUAUGUCACGAUUAGCAUGGCUUAUAUGUGAUUUAUUUUGGGUUCCAAUCAACACAAUGGAGAUUCUGAUGUAUUCACGUUUUGUGUUCCAAACGUCGAUUGCCGCCCAUCUCUUUGUAUUCUCUAUUGAACGCGCAAUUGCCACUUGUCUGUCCAAGCGAUAUGAGCAAAACUCUUCUUAUCCAGUCAUUAUUUUAUCUUGUAUUCUUACGUAUCCGUACUCAUUGAUUCAACUUUAUUCAAAAUACAACUUUGAAAAGGGUCGAGAGAUAAAUGUGGUCAUGUAUGGUGGAGCUGGGAUUGUGUCUCUUAUUAUUCUCCUGGUAGUAUACCGAGUAAAUAAGAAAAAAGUGAAGGAGCGAAGGUUCAAAGGUCCAAUCAGUGAAGCUUAUCAGAAAACUACAAACCGGCAGAAAAUUCAAUUUAUAAAAAACAAAGGAAACAAAAAAAAACAUCAAUGGAGGCUGUUCGUGAGAACAUUCGCACAUCCCGACUGCUUAUUCAAAUCUUCUUCAUCUUUGCAUUUUUCGUUGGCACCUCAACAUUCUUCCUUCUCAAAUUCUCUGCUUCAUUGACGGAUCCAUCUCAGAAAUGGACAACUAUAAAAAAUGGCUUCAUGUAUGAUAUUCUGAUAUGUAUUGGUACUACAUGCACAACUACUGUAUUCCUUCAAUUUUUAAUUCCGGAUGAUACACUGAAAAAAUGGAGACUGAAAUUUCAUUUGUCAUGUCAACAACGAAGUGUGACUCCGGAAGGAAAGAGACUUCGAUUCAGAAGUAUUCAUGGAAUAGAUGUUGAAGUUGGAAAUGGAACUGCAGAAGAAGAGGCUAGAGUAUACUUCACACAAUUAUCACAAGCCUGGAAACUCUAGAAAAUUCAAAAAAAAUAUGUGAUGACUGAUGGAAUGUGAAGAACACAUUUAAGAAGAAACAAAAACAAGAAAUUCUUCCUCACAAAACACUUCCUCAAAACAACCAUGUCUGACUCCAUCAUCACCCGCUCCGAAGUUAACAUGCACUGUAGCGAAGAUGACUGUUGGAUUAUUGUUGGAAACUAUGUCUACGACGUCACAAAGUUCGUCGAUCUCCACCCAGGAGGCCCAGAAAUUCUUCUCGAAUUCGCCGGAGGUGAUGCCACCGAUGCUUUCGAGUCCGUCGGACACUCAAUGUGUGCCCGCAUGAUGCUCACAAAGUUCAAAAUUGGCUCUUUACCAGAGGAUGAGCGUCCAGAUUUUAUUCAAGCCGAAUACAUCACUCAUGCAAAGAUCUCUCUUCCAAUGGCUCAUUAA